rnacentral:rRNA from 1 species
UACGUAGGGUGCAAGCGUUGUCCGGAAUUAUUGGGCGUAAAGAGCUCGUAGGCGGUUUGUCGCGUCUGCUGUGAAAACCCGAGGCUCAACCUCGGGCCUGCAGUGGGUACGGGCAGACUAGAGUGCGGUAGGGGAGAUUGGAAUUCCUGGUGUAGCGGUGGAAUGCGCAGAUAUCAGGAGGAACACCAGUGGCGAAGGCGGUUGCCUGGAGCUUUGCUGACGCUGAGGCGCGAAAGCGUGGGGAGCGAUCCGG